rnacentral:piRNA from 1 species
UAAGAUAAGGAUUGAUUAUCUACUG